rnacentral:rRNA from 1 species
UUUUAAGGAGUGGAGAUCAAAGCCGGGGGAUCGCAAAGACCUGGCGUUUGAAGAGGGGCCCGCGUCCGAUUAGCUAGUUGGUGAGGUAACGGCUCACCAAGGCAACGAUCGGUAGCCGGCCUGAGAGGGCGGACGGCCACACUGGGACUGAGACACGGCCCAGACUCCUACGGGAGGCAGCAGUGGGGAAUUGUUCGCAAUGGGCGCAAGCCUGACGACGCAACGCCGCGUGGAGGAUGAAGGUCUUCGGAUUGUAAACUCCUGUUGCCCGGGACGAAAUGCUUCGACCUAACACGUCGAAGUUUGACGGUACCGGGUGAGGAAGCCC